rnacentral:rRNA from 1 species
GAUGAACGCUGGCGGCGUGCCUAACACAUGCAAGUCGAGCGAACAGACGAGGAGCUUGCUCCUCUGACGUUAGCGGCGGACGGGUGAGUAACACGUGGAUAACCUACCUAUAAGACUGGGAUAACUUCGCGAAACCGGAUCUAAUACCGGAUAAUAUAUUGAACCGCAUGGUUCAAUAGAGAAAGACCGUUUUGCUGUCACUUAUAGAUGGAUCCGCGCGGCAUUAGCUAGUUGGGAAGGUAACGGCCUACCAAGGCAAUGAUGCGUAGCCGACGUGAGAGAGGGAUAGGCCACACUGGAGCUGAGACAGCGUCCCGACUCCUGCGAGAGGGCGCAGAAGGGAAUGGUACGCAAUGGGGGAGAGCCUGACGCAGCGAGGCCGAGUGAGUGGUGACGGUCUUCGGAUAGUGAAGCCGGCUUAUUGGGGAUAAACCAGUGUGUGAGUAGAUGUAGCGGGAGUGACGGUACCUAAACAAGAAGCCACGGCUAACUACGUG